UAAAGCCCACUUGAUGAGCCCUAGGAGC
rnacentral:piRNA from 1 species